rnacentral:rRNA from 1 species
CCUUCUGCCCCCUUGCUUCCCUACUCCUACGGGAGGCAGCAGUGGGGAAUAUUGCACAAUGGGCGCAAGCUUGAUGGCAGCGACGCCGGGUGAGGGAUGACGGCCUUCGGGUUGUAAACCUCUUUCAGUAGGGAAGAAGCGAAAGUGACGGUACCUGCAGAAGAAGCGCCGGCUAACUACGUGCCAGCAGCCGCGGUAAUACGUAGGGCGCAAGCGUUAUCCGGAAUUAUUGGGCGUAAAGAGCUCGUAGGCGGUUUGUCGCGUCUGCCGUGAAAGUCCGGGGCUCAACUCCGGAUCUGCGGUGGGUACGGGCAGACUAGAGUGAUGUAGGGGAGACUGGAAUUCCUGGUGUAGCGGUGAAAUGCGCAGAUAUCAGGAGGAACACCGAUGGCGAAGGCAGGUCUCUGGGCAUUAACUGACGCUGAGGAGCGAAAGCAUGGGGAGCGAACAGGAUUAGAUACCCUGGUAGUCCAUGCCGUAAACGUUGGGCACUAGGUGUGGGGGACAUUCCACGUUUUCCGCGCCGUAGCUAACGCAUUAAGUGCCCCGCCUGGGGAGUACGGCCGCAAGGCUAAAACUCAAAGGAAUUGACGGGGGCCCGCACAAGCGGCGGAGCAUGCGUAAAGUUUGAUGCAACGCGAAGAACCUUACCAAGGCUUGACAUGAACCGGACCGCUGCAGAAUAUGUGUUCCCCCUU